rnacentral:rRNA from 1 species
UACGAAGGGGGCUAGCGUUGCUCGGAAUCACUGGGCGUAAAGGGUGCGUAGGCGGGUCUUUAAGUCAGGGGUGAAAUCCUGGAGCUCAACUCCAGAACUGCCUUUGAUACUGAAGAUCUUGAGUUCGGGAGAGGUGAGUGGAACUGCGAGUGUAGAGGUGAAAUUCGUAGAUAUUCGCAAGAACACCAGUGGCGAAGGCGCUCACUGGCCCGAUACUGACGCUGAGGCACGAAAGCCAGGGAGCAACGGG